rnacentral:rRNA from 1 species
UACGAAGGGGGCUAGCGUUGUUCGGAAUCACUGGGCGUAAAGCGCACGUAGGCGGAUCGUUAAGUCAGGGGUGAAAUCCUGGAGCUCAACUCCAGAACUGCCUUUGAUACUGGCGAUCUUGAGUCCGGAAGAGGUGAGUGGAACUCCUAGUGUAGAGGUGGAAUUCGUAGAUAUUAGGAAGAACACCAGUGGCGAAGGCGGCUCACUGGUCCGGUACUGACGCUGAGGUGCGAAAGCGUGGGGAGCAAACAGG